UUUUUCUGUUUGUGCAGCAGUCUGAGACCUGAGGGGGGAGGGAGGGUCAUGUGACGUGUCGGAGGGAUCAUUCUCAGCCCUGUCAGCCAGGGCCGCUCUGAGGCCAGGGGCCAGAGUAUUGUUAGCACUGCCUCAGAGCCCCAUGUCAGCCAUCAACACCACUGCCAGGCAGUCGGACUGGCAGGCCUGACGGAGAAUGACUGGUUCAGAUGGGAAGAUUUCUAAGGAAUCCCAACAGCCUGAAAACCGUCAAACCAGGCAGGAUGACUUGUUUGGAACUUAAUCUUCAGUUAGAAAUGAAAACGACCUCCGAAUGGACUUGUCACUGACGCCUCCUGGUUUCCAAGUCCUUCACUAAGACUCAGAUCAAAUCCUACCUCCUGCAAGAGAAUGUGAACUACUUGGAGCUGAGUGGACCCUUCCUAGCUGUGUGACCCUGGACAAGACAUUUAACUCCCUCUGCCUAGUCUUUCUGACUCUUCUGCUUUGGAACCAAUAAAGUAAGGGAUUAAAAUAAAAAGAAUGUGAA